AGAGUUUGAUCCUGGCUCAGAACGAACGCUGGCGGCAUGCCUAACACAUGCAAGUCGAACGCUCUUGGGGCUUCGGCCGCAAGGGAGUGGCGCACGGGUGAGUAGCGCGUGGGAACCUGCCCUGUUGUGGGGGAUAACCGAGGGAAACUUCGGCUAAUACCGCAUGCGCCCCGGAGCAAUCCGGGGGAAAGAUUUAUCGCAGCAGGAGGGGCCCGCGUCGGAUUAGCUAGUUGGUGGGGUAACGGCCCACCAAGGCGAUGAUCCGUAGCUGGUCUGAGAGGAUGAUCAGCCACACUGGGACUGAGACACGGCCCAGACUCCUACGGGAGGCAGCAGUGGGGAAUAUUGGACAAUGGGCGCAAGCCUGAUCCAGCAAUGCCGCGUGAGUGAUGAAGGCCUUAGGGUUGUAAAGCUCUUUCGCCCGCGACGAUGAUGACGGUAGCGGGAGAAGAAGCCCCGGCUAACUUCGUGCCAGCAGCCGCGGUAAUACGAAGGGGGCGAGCGUUGUUCGGAUUUACUGGGCGUAAAGGGCGCGUAGGCGGCCGAUCAAGUCAGGCGUGAAAGCCCCGGGCUCAACCUGGGAAUGGCGCUUGGGACUGGUUGGCUUGAGUUCGGGAGAGGAGAGUGGAAUUCCCAGUGUAGAGGUGAAAUUCGUAGAUAUUGGGAAGAACACCGGUGGCGAAGGCGGCUCUCUGGACCGAUACUGACGCUGAGGCGCGAAAGCGUGGGGAGCAAACAGGAUUAGAUACCCCCGUAGUCC
rnacentral:rRNA from 1 species